UACGAAGGGGGCUAGCGUUGCUCGGAAUCACUGGGCGUAAAGGGUGCGUAGGCGGGUCUUUUAAGUCAGGGGUGAAAUCCUGGAGCUCAACUCCAGAACUGCCUUUGAUACUAAAAGAUCUUGAGUCCGGGGAGAGGUGAGUGGAACUGCGAGUGUAGAGGUGAAAUUCGUAGAUAUUCGCAAGAACACCAGUGGCGAAGGCGGCUCACUGGCCCGAUACUGACGCUGAGGCACGAAAGCGUGGGGAGCAAACAGG
rnacentral:rRNA from 1 species